rnacentral:rRNA from 1 species
GGAUCCAGACUUUGAUUAUGGCUCAGGAUGAACGCUAGCUACAGGCUUAACACAUGCAAGUCGAGGGGAAACGACAUCGAAAGCUUGCUUUUGAUGGGCGUCGACCGGCGCACGGGUGAGUAACGCGUAUCCAACCUGCCCACCACUUGGGAAUAACCUUGCGAAAGUAAGACUAAUACCCAAUGAUAUCUCUAGAAGGCAUCAGAAAGAGAUUAAAGAUUUAUCGGUGAUGGAUGGGGAUGCGUCUGAUUAGCUUGUUGGCGGGGUAACGGCCCACCAAGGCUACGAUCAGUAGGGGUUCUGAGAGGAAGGUCCCCCACAUUGGAACUGAGACACGGUCCAAACUCCUACGGGAGGCAGCAGUGAGGAAUAUUGGUCAAUGGACGAGAGUCUGAACCAGCCAAGUAGCGUGCAGGAUGACGGCCCUAUGGGUUGUAAACUGCUUUUAUAAGGGAAUAAAGUGAGUCUCGUGAGACUUUUUGCAUGUACCUUAUGAAUAAGGACCGGCUAAUUCCGUGCCAGCAGCCGCGGUAAUACGGAAGGUCCGGGCGUUAUCCGGAUUUAUUGGGUUUAAAGGGAGCGUAGGCCGGAGAUUAAGCGUGUUGUGAAAUGUAGACGCUCAACGUCUGCACUGCAGCGCGAACUGGUUUCCUUGAGUACGCACAAAGUGGGCGGAAUUCGUGGUGUAGCGGUGAAAUGCUUAGAUAUCACGAAGAACUCCGAUUGCGAAGGCAGCUCACUGGAGCGCAACUGACGCUGAAGCUCGAAAGUGCGGGUAUCGAACAGGAUUAGAUACCCUGGUAGUCCGCACGGUAAACGAUGGAUGCCCGCUGUUGGUCUGAAUAGGUCAGCGGCCAAGCGAAAGCAUUAAGCAUCCCACCUGGGGAGUACGCCGGCAACGGUGCAACUCAAAUGAAUUGACGG